rnacentral:rRNA from 1 species
AGAGUUUGAUCCUGGCUCAGGACGAACGCUGGCGGCGCGCCUAACACAUGCAAGUCGAACGGAGCUUAGAGAGCUUGCUUUUUAAGCUUAGUGGCGAACGGGUGAGUAACGCGUGAGUAACCUGCCCUAGAGUGGGGGACAACAGUUGGAAACGACUGCUAAUACCGCAUAAGCCCACGGUACCGCAUGGUACUGAGGGAAAAGGAUUUAUUCGCUUUAGGAUGGACUCGCGUCCAAUUAGCUAGUUGGUGAGGUAACGGCCCACCAAGGCGACGAUUGGUAGCCGGACUGAGAGGUUGAACGGCCACAUUGGGACUGAGACACGGCCCAGACUCCUACGGGAGGCAGCAGUGGGGGAUAUUGCACAAUGGGGGAAACCCUGAUGCAGCGACGCCGCGUGGAGGAAGAAGGUCUUCGGAUUGUAAACUCCUGUUGUUGAGGAAGAUAAUGACGGUACUCAACAAGGAAGUGACGGCUAACUACGUGCCAGCAGCCGCGGUAAAACGUAGGUCACAAGCGUUGUCCGGAAUUACUGGGUGUAAAGGGAGCGCAGGCGGGAAGACAAGUUGGAAGUGAAAUCUAUGGGCUCAACCCAUAAACUGCUUUCAAAACUGUUUUUCUUGAGUAGUGCAGAGGUAGAUGGAAUUCCCGGUGUAGCGGUGGAAUGCGUAGAUAUCGGGAGGAACACCAGUGGCGAAGGCGGCCUACUGGGCACCAACUGACGCUGAGGCUCGAAAGUGUGGGUAGCAAACAGGAUUAGAUACCCUGGUAGUCCACACCGUAAACGAUGAUUACUAGGUGUUGGAGGAUUGACCCCUUCAGUGCCGCAGUUAACACAAUAAGUAAUCCACCUGGGGAGUACGACCGCAAGGUUGAAACUCAAAGGAAU